ensembl:lncRNA
GGGAGGGACCUUAAAGCCCAUCUCCCUCCGUGCGGGGACAUUCCCCAGCAGCCCAGGCUGCUCCAGGCCCCGGGUCCAGCCUGGCCGCGGACGCUGCCAGGAGCAGCCACAGCCCCUCCGGGCUCCCCGCGCCAGGGCUGCCCACCCUCGCAGGGAGCAGCUCCUGCCCCGCGUCAAACCCAGAUCCCUCCUCCCGCUGCCUCCAGGGAAGGCUGAAGCGAGAUGGUGUGGCUGGGGCUCUUUGGAGAGGGACAGAGGGACGGGUGUGCGCUGCAGGGACUCCCCGGGGAGCUGCCAGCGGCUCCCGUCCCCAGGCAGGUGUCGCUGCCAUGUGUCCCUGUCACACAGGUGCGGUUUCCUCGGCUCGGCCCCGGGAUGCAGCCCGCGGCUCUGCAGAGCCUGUCCGAGCUGGAGAGAGCCGGUCUGCAGGAGCUGGCGCUGUUCCGGCUGCAGGAGAGGCUGCCCGGGGCACAGCUGAGCCUGGACAGAGAUGGCUCCAGAGGCAUCAAAUCCAUCCGGCAGAAGCUGGAGAGCUUCUCCAAGGACAGGAAAGUUGAGGGGCCUCCCUCUUACCUGGCUGUGCUCCCUGCUCUCGGGGGGAAUGGGGGAGUUCUGGGGGGGUGGGAGGUGCCCCAGGUGGUUCUGCUGUUCUUGGGGUGGCAGGAGCUUGGUGGAGCUGGGAAGGCACAGGAAUUGUGGGAUGUGUGUGAUGGGAAAUGCACUCUCCAGGGAACACCCAGAAAUGUCUCUGUCUGCCCAUCUUGCCCCUGUUUUGCUGCCUCCAAUUUCAGAAUCCCAGAAUCCCAGAGCAGAGCCAGGUGGGAAUGAACUUCCCCACACCAGUGCAAAGCCCACUCAAGGAAACUUCUGAAAUUAAUGCCUCAUAUUUCACCAAAAAGGAUUUGUGCUCUGCCACCCCAGGGCAGUGCAAAGGCUGGGGGUGAGGAGAGAGAGGGAUGGAGAGGGACAAUUUAUUUGGGAAAAAUACCACAAAUAGCAGGACUUUUCUUGAGCAGGCAGAGCUGAGGCAAGAGAAAACUGGAGGCUAGAACUUGGGAAGGAUUUUUUUUUGGUGAUUUAUGAAGUUGUUUGGGAUUUUCAUGGGGCUGUAGGCAGUCAGAGGAGUUAGCACUGAGAGAUAAAAAAACCAAUGGGAUGGAUUCCACUGACUGAUGAAUGGGGAAAAAAAAGAGAUUUGCCUUUCCAAACAAGCUGUGGGUUUGCUGAUAAAUGAAAUUGGAUAUUGGAAGAUGAAAGAAGCAACAGGGAAAAACUAUGAAUUCUGUAAGAAUUAAAAAUGAAAAGGGGGGGUUGUACAUUAGAGGGGAAUCUCAGGUGUCAGGUGUUUGGGCAGUCUGUGCCUCUCAAGUACCUCAGCAAUGGGGAAAGGGAGAGGGAAAUGUGGAUGGGAAAUUGGGAUAAAAAGGGAGGUGAAUCCUCCAAAAAUCUGAGAGAUCCCGUGGCCUCUCCCUUCACCGGAAUAAAGCAAAAAGGACUUUUCUGCCUCCUUUUUCGGACAUCAACCCCUGCUGCUGUGGGUUCAUUUUCCCCACAGCCCGGUGCUGUGCCCCCCCGGAGCGCUCCCCCCACACCCCCCCCCCCCCCCCCCCCCCCCCCCCCCCCCCCCCCCCCCCCCCCCCCCCCCCCCCCCCCCCCCCCCCCCCCCCCCCCCCCCCCCCCCCCCCCCCCCCCCCCCCCCCCC